rnacentral:rRNA from 1 species
AUUGAACGCUGGCGGCAGGCCUAACACAUGCAAGUCGAGCGGAUGAAGGGAGCUUGCUCCUGGAUUCAGCGGCGGACGGGUGAGUAAUGCCUAGGAAUCUGCCUGGUAGUGGGGGAUAAUGUCCGGAAACGGGCGCUAAUACCGCAUACGUCCUGAGGGAGAAAGUGGGGGAUCUUCGGACCUCACGCUAUCAGAUGAGCCUAGGUCGGAUUAGCUAGUUGGUGGGGUAAAGGCCUACCAAGGCGACGAUCCGUAACUGGUCUGAGAGGAUGAUCAGUCACACUGGAACUGAGACACGGUCCAGACUCCUACGGGAGGCAGCAGUGGGGAAUAUUGGACAAUGGGCGAAAGCCUGAUCCAGCCAUGCCGCGUGUGUGAAGAGGGUCUUCGGAUUGUAAAGCACUUUAAGUUGGGAGGAAGGGCAGUAAGUUAAUACCUUGCUGUUUUGACGUUACCAACAGAAUAAGCACCGGCUAACUUCGUG